AUCGCUUCUUGGCCUUUUGGCUAAGAUCAAGUGUAAUAUUGCUUUACAAAUUGUUCACACAUAUCUCUUACAGAACCACCUCAUUUCCCAUAACUCGUGGCUUAAUCCUUGGCUCACUUGCUGAUUCCAUGGCUACACCUGCUUCUAACAACUCCAGUGAAUCCUGUGGGCUGUGUGAGAAGCAUUGUAAUA